GUCCCGUUAGCUCAGUCGGUAGAGCAUUUGACUUUUAAUCAAAGGGUCGUGAGUUCGAAUCUCGCACGGGACACCA
rnacentral:tRNA from 1 species